GACCCCUUCGUCUAGCGGUUAGGACACCACCCUUUCACGGUGGGAACACGGGUUCGAUUCCCGUAGGGGUCGCCA
rnacentral:tRNA from 2 species